rnacentral:miRNA from 1 species
CGUUUCUGAGGUCCGCCAAAUU